AUGACAACAGCUGCCCCUAGGAAGGGGAACUUGUCAACUGGGAACAAGUGGAGGAGACACUUCUUUUCACUCUACCAUCUUUUUUUAUCUUUUGAAUCAUGUAGAUGUGUUAUCUAUUCAAAAAUAAAUAAAAGCAGAAUGAACAAAAACCUUCCUGUGCCUUUCAAUUUCAGUCUAUUAUUUUCUAAUCCCAAGAUUUCCCGGAUCCACAGGGCUACAAAUAGCAGUGGGAGAGCCAAGCUGUAUUUUCUCUCUCCCUCCUCCAGGCAGCCUCCACCCGCACCUAGAGAAGCCCAGUUCUCUUGCUCUCCUUGUUGCACACAACCUCGCCUGCCACUGGAGGGCAGCAGGAGGCUUCCUUCCCGUCCCGUGCCGCAGCUGUUGGCUCUCCUUCCUGUCAAAUCACAUUUUACCCUGAGAGCUCGGCGCUGGUGCUGUGUAUUCCAGCCAAGGAUCUGCGGUCACGGAAUCACUGGUGAGCCAGCCGUGUGGGCUUUACAGGGGGUUCCCAGGGAAGCUGGGGACACAUCGCCCCCUGUGGCACCUACCUCAAACCCCCUCAUUCAGGAGGGACUCCACAUUGCUGACUGAUGAGGCUGGUAACGGGUAAUGGCGUCUUCGUGCGAGUCUCUCCACUCUUCUGUAAGUUUGAAAGUUUCCUUUAAAAAAAAAAAUGUUUUCUCUGAAGUUCCUUCUGUCCAACACAUUCCCAGAGGACUUCCUAUCGCCCUUCCCUCUCCACCAUCACCACCCACAACUUCUCUCUUCCCCUCCCCUCUGGUUUGACAAGAGAUCAGUUCGGCUCCACUUACCAGCAGCAUGUUGGCAUGCUGGAGUCAUCUGAGGACACUUAGAAACCUUUGGUGCCCUCUUGCUUCCCCACUUCCCAAGAUUUGGAACCAAAUGGUCUGGUGUGAAGGUGCUGGGCACGGGGUAUAGUAAAUGCUCCCCAGCCAAUUCUGAGUUGAGCAACUGUCUUGUCAACCAAGACUAAUCCCUGAUUUUUUUUUUCCCUGCAGCCAGGGGCCUCCUGUUAACAGGGCCCAGCUUUCUUGGAAGGCAUUUUAGCAACACCUUUUGUCACCUGAGCCCAUCCCUAGGGUCCCACCACAACUCACUUAGAGUUCUUCCUUUCAAACCCAAACAAUGUACUUCAUUUACCACCAGGGUGCCUGGUGGAUGACAUUCUUUCCAUUACCUUAUGCAACACGGGUUCACUGUCACCAUUUGGAAAGCACACAGAGGCACACAGGAGCCGACCACAGCUCCUCUUUGGCCCUGUAAUUCCUGAACAGAAAGGAUCCGUUGUCACCCAGUCACUUUAAGGGAACAGCUAAAAAACACAUUCAAAGGGCCCUGAUGAUAAUGAGUAUGCUAAUGUGAUUUCCAUUGGGUGCCCAUGUUACCUCCAAAAAAUGCUGUCUGACCUUCCUUAUGGAUUCAAAGCUUCCAUUGAAGUCAACGGGGGAUUUGGGUUUAAAUAACAUCAAAGUUUGCACUUAAAGGGGUGAAACUGGGGAGUCAUGAAUUAAGGGUGAGUUUCACAUUGGCCCUGACACUGCUGACCUUGAGGGGGAAAUGCAUGCCCUGG
rnacentral:lncRNA from 1 species